rnacentral:rRNA from 1 species
UACGUAGGGGGCAAGCGUUAUCCGGAAUCAUUGGGCGUAAAGCGCGUGUAGGCGGUUCCGUAAGUCCGCUCUGAAAGCCCAGGGCUCAACCCUGGGAGGCGGGUGGAUACUACGGAACUGGAGUACGGAAGAGGAGAUUGGAAUUCCUGGUGUAGCGGUGAAAUGCGCAGAUAUCAGGAGGAACACCAACAGCGAAGGCAGAUCUCUGGGACGUUACUGACGCUGAGGCACGAAAGCGUGGGGAUCAAACAGG